rnacentral:rRNA from 1 species
AAACAUCUUUUCUUGAUAUUUAUUUGAGAUUUGACCUGCCCAAUGAUAAUUUAUUUAAUGGCCGCAGUAUUUCUGACUGUGCAAAGGUAGCAUAAUCAUUAGUUCAUUAAUUGUGGACUUGUAUGAAUGGUUGGACGAAAUAUUAACUGUCUUUUAUUUAAGAUUAGAAUUUAAAUUUUUAGUUAAAAUGCUUAAAUUUUAUUAUUGGACGAGAAGACCCUAUAGAUCUUUAUUUUAAUUUUUAUUAAUUGUUUUAGUUUAUUUGUUGUUAAUAGUUUUUAUUAUUUUGUUGGGGUGACAUUGAGAUUUAAUUAACUCUUUAUAUUAGUAUACAAUUAUUUUUGUUUAUAUGACCUUAUUUUAAUGUUAUAAGAUUAGAUACCUUAGGGAUAACAGCGUAAUUUUCUUUGAGAGUUCAUAUCGACAGGAAAGAUUGCGACCUCGAUGUUGGAUUAAGAUUAUAUUUAGGUGUAGUAGCUUGAAUAUUAGGUCUGUUCGACCUUUAAAUUCUUACAUGAUCUGA